GUGGGGAAUAUUGGACAAUGGGGGGAACCCUGAUCCAGCCAUGCCGCGUGUGUGAAGAAGGCCUUUUGGUUGUAAAGCACUUUAAGCGAGGAGGAGGCUACCGAGAUUAAUACUUUUGGAUAGUGGACGUUACUCGCAGAAUAAGCACCGGCUAACUCUGUGCCAGCAGCCGCGGUAAUACAGAGGGUGCAAGCGUUAAUCGGAUUUACUGGGCGUAAAGCGCGCGUAGGUGGCCAAUUAAGUCAAAUGUGAAAUCCCCGAGCUUAACUUGGGAAUUGCAUUCGAUACUGGUUGGCUAGAGUAUGGGAGAGGAUGGUAGAAUUCCAGGUGUAGCGGUGAAAUGCGUAGAGAUCUGGAGGAAUACCGAUGGCGAAGGCAGCCAUCUGGCCUAAUACUGACACUGAGGUGCGAAAGCAUGGGGAGCAAACAGGAUUAGAAACCCUAGUAGUCC
rnacentral:rRNA from 1 species